AAAUGCAUAACAAGGUUCUAGGGUCAGAUGACGAUGCAUACAUCAAGCUUCCAUCUUUCUCAGCAUUACAUUCCUCUCUGGAAAACCACUCAGUUGUUAAUGUACAGGUUUGUACGGUAAACAACAUUGAUGUUGUUUCGUUGUGCAAAUAGUAUUUUAUUCAGAUAUUCUUUUAUUCCUCUCAGAUGACCACUUUUAUAGGCAACCCAUAUCCGUCGACUGAAAACAUCACAGGAACGGUGUGUACCCUUGAACUAAGGGAUGGAUUGACGGAAAUCAGUGUAGAAAACUUGACAGAGCUAAUUGAGAUCAUUCUGCCACGCCCAGAUGCUCCUGUGCUCUCAGGUAUAACUGUAUCCUUGGAGGAAGGGGCUCGGGUUGGGACCUCUUUCAACACUACGGACCCCAACAUCACAGUCAUAUUCACCGUAGAGCCCAGUGUCAAUGUGUCCAUAGAACUGCUGCUGGGCCUGGGCUCCCCACCCAAUGACACCCACUAUAAACACCGCACCGUCCUGAGACACACAGGUAGAGGAGGAUUCCACCACCAUAGCUACUGCUAGGCAUAACAUUACACCCACUGUGCUACUGCUUUCAGUCAGUCUAGCUGUCUGGUAUGCACGUAGAUUCACAUAAUACUUUGAUAUUCAUGGUGAUUCACAAGCUUUAAGACAUGUCUGUCAGACAUUUCACACUGUAAUUGGAGGUUGGGCUCCCCAAAGGUAUUGUUGGUUUUCUUUCUUAGCCUGGGUGGUACAGAGUAAUCCAUGUUCAUAGCCUAUUGUGGUCUUUCAGAGGGUUAUCGCUGGCUGGUCACCCCUGAGAUGUUGGAAAUGGGAACAGGCACCUGGUAUGUGAAUGCCAGUCUGUUUAACUCAACCUGGAGCAAGGGCCUGACACUACAGAUCACCACCUUCACUACUAAGUGCAUGUACUGGAACACUAAACAGCUGACAUGGAGCAUAGCUGGCUGCUGGGUGAGGCUGCUAUUAAUGAGCCCUAUCCCUCCUUUGUCUCCAUCAGAGUAUGAACAAACCUAAUUAAGCGUCGUAAUGUGUUCGUGACAUUGCGAAAGCGUUUGUCUGUGUUGUCUUGUUCUAGGUGGGUAUACAGUCAACUCCCAGGAUGACACAUUGUCUGUGUAACCACCUGACAUCGUUUGGGAGCUCUUUCUUUGUGAUGCCCAACUACGUGGACGUGUCGCUCACAGCUCAGUACUUUGCCACAGUGAAUGAGAACUAUGUGGUGGUGGCAUUGCUCUCUGCCUUCUUUGGCCUGUACCUGGUCACUCUGCUCUGGGCCUGCUAUGCAGACAGGAGGGCCCUCACCAGGAGGAAGAUGACACUCCUGAAGGAUAACCACCCAUGUGCCAGUUAUAACUACCUACUGAAUGUCCAGACUGGCAGUCGGAGAGGGGCGGGUA